rnacentral:misc_RNA from 1 species
AAGUCGUAACAAGGUAACCGUAGGUGAACCUGCGGUUGGAUCAUUCUUUGGAGUGCCAUACAAUUUACGAAUUGUGUGCAUCGACCCUGUGCAUUUUUAGUACUUGAUACGUGAUUGAGAGUGCUCGUACGUGCUCACGACAAUACAAUAAACUGAGAAGCAAAUAAAAACAACUUUUGACAACGGAUCUCUUGGCUCUC